rnacentral:rRNA from 1 species
GAGUUUGAUCCUGGCUCAGGACGAACGCUGGCGGCGUGCUUAACACAUGCAAGUCGAACGGUAAGGCCCUUCGGGGUACACGAGUGGCGAACGGGUGAGUAACACGUGAGUGACCUGCCCUCUACUCUGGGAUAACCUCCAGAAAUGGUGGCUAAUACCGGAUAUGACUCCUGCCUGCAUGGGUGGGGGUGGAAAGCUCCGGCGGUAGGGGAUGGACUCGCGGCCUAUCAGCUUGUUGGUGAGGUAGUGGCUCACCAAGGCUUCGACGGGUAGCCGGCCUGAGAGGGUGACCGGCCACAUUGGGACUGAGAUACGGCCCAGACUCCUACGGGAGGCAGCAGUGGGGAAUAUUGCGCAAUGGGCGGAAGCCUGACGCAGCAACGCCGCGUGCGGGCUGACGGCC